rnacentral:rRNA from 1 species
GCUCAGAUUGAACGCUGGCGGCAGGCCUAACACAUGCAAGUCGAACGGUAACAGGAAACAGCUUGCUGUUUCGCCGACGAGUGGCGGACGGGUGAGUAAUGUCUGGGAAACUGCCUGAUGGAGGGGGAUAACUACUGGAAACGGUAGCUAAUACCGCAUAACGUCGCAAGACCAAAGAGGGGGACCCUCGGGCCUCUUGCCAUCGGAUGUGCCCAGAUGGGAUUAGCUUGUUGGUGGGGUAACGGCUCACCAAGGCGACGAUCCCUAGCUGGUCUGAGAGGAUGACCAGCCACACUGGAACUGAGACACGGUCCAGACUCCUACGGGAGGCAGCAGAAGGG